rnacentral:rRNA from 1 species
UACGUAGGUGGCAAGCGUUGUCCGGAUUUACUGGGCGUAAAGGGCGUGCAGGCGGUUUGUUAAGUGCAGAGUGAAAGCUCCCGGCUCAACUGGGAGAGGUCUUUGCAUACUGGCAAACUCGAGGGAGGCAGAGGAAAGUGGAAUUCCCGGUGUAGCGGUGAAAUGCGCAGAUAUCGGGAAGAACACCCGUGGCGAAGGCGGCUCUCUGGAACGCAACUGACGCUGAGACGCGAAAGCGUGGGGAGCAAAUAGG